AUUGAGCGCUGGCGGCAGGCCUAACACAUGCAAGUCGAGCGGCAGCGGGAAAGUAGCUUGCUACUUUUGCCGGCGAGCGGCGGACGGGUGAGUAAUGCCUGGGGAUCUGCCCAGUCGAGGGGGAUAACUACUGGAAACGGUAGCUAAUACCGCAUACGCCCUACGGGGGAAAGCAGGGGACCUUCGGGCCCUGCGCGAUUGGAUGAACCCAGGUGGGAUUAGCUAGUUGGUGAGGUAAUGGCUCACCAAGGCAACGAUCCCUAGCUGGUCUGAGAGGAUGAUCAGCCACACUGGAACUGAGACACGGUCCAGACUCCUACGGGAGGCAGCAGUGGGGAAUAUUGCACAAUGGGGGAAACCCUGAUGCAGCCAUGCCGCGUGUGUGAAGAAGGCCUUCGGGUUGUAAAGCACUUUCAGCGAGGAGGAAAGGUUGGUAGCUAAUAACUGCCAGCUGUGACGUUACUCGCAGAAGAAGCACCGGCUAACUCCGUGCCAGCCGCCGCGGUAA
rnacentral:rRNA from 1 species